CCUGAGUGAGGGGUUUAGGUAAACAAGGUGUGACUGGGAUUGGAAGAGUCACAAACCUGUUUGUUAGAGCAAUGCUGAAGAGUUUCAGGAAAAGAAUUUCAUCAAGGCUGGCACAUCUGUCCUCAGACACUUGAAGGAUUCCCUGGAGGAAGGAGGACUGAACUUGCCCUACAAGAUCCUGCGGGGCAAAGAACUGUAAGCAGAGACAAAAUGAAAGCCCUCUAGGCCCACAAUUGAUUCUAACGGCUGUGAGGGAAUGAGCUUCAACUACUGUUGAUGGGAGGGACUGUGUGCCAGGCACUGUGCUAGGGACUCUCAUGCAUGAUCUCAUUCAUCUUCUGCAUAACCCAAUGAGGUAGGUGCAAUUACAUCUAUUUUCCAAAGACACAACUGGAGAGGCCAGCAACUUGCCCAUCAUCACACAGCCAGGAAGGAGCCUGGGCCUGGGGAACAAUGCAUCCAUAGCCUCUGUGCCCCUUUCAUGCCCUGCCACAAGCAGAAUGGGAAAUGCUUCCAACCAAACUUCUGUUUCAAAGAGUCCCUGUGAACGGGCAUAGUCAUGAUGAAAACUGCCAUUCGCACUCAAAUUACUGCUGCUUUUGUGACUGCUUCUUAUGACCUUGCCAUGACUUGACUUGAUUAUGCUUUUGCAAAUCUCUCUUUACAUAUCUGCAGCUGAGCCUUCUUAAAUCAUUAUACUUCUGAAUUAAGAUGGUGAAUUGGGUAUGAUCUACUAUCAAGUGUCUACAUUUGUAUUGGAUUGACUUAACAUCUCUGGAAAGCCAGAAAUCAGAGAUACAGAGAAGUAUUGAAAUGCUGAAAUGCUAUGAAUUUACUAUAAGAGAACAUUCUUCACUGAAGAGAUCUCUAGCUGCCAAAACACCCUUUCAUGCGUGAAAUACCGGGGCAAAGAGGAAGGAAAAGAGAAGAGUAUGACUCUAGGAACCAUGUUGCAGAA
rnacentral:lncRNA from 1 species